GAUGAACGCUGGCGGCGUGCCUAAUACAUGCAAGUCGAGCGAACAGACGAGGAGCUUGCUCCUCUGACGUUAGCGGCGGACGGGUGAGUAACACGUGGAUAACCUACCUAUAAGACUGGGAUAACUUCGGGAAACCGGAGCUAAUACCGGAUAAUAUAUUGAACCGCAUGGUUCAAUAGUGAAAGACGGUUUUGCUGUCACUUAUAGAUGGAUCCGCGCCGCAUUAGCUAGUUGGUAAGGUAACGGCUUACCAAGGCAACGAUGCGUAGCCGACCUGAGAGGGUGAUCGGCCACACUGGAACUGAGACACGGGCCAGACUCCUACGGGAGGCAGCAGUAGGGAAUCUUCCGCAAUGGGCGAAAGCCUGACGGAGCAACGCCGCGUGAGUGAUGAAGGGCUUCGGAUCGUAAAACUCUGUUAUUAGGGAAGAACAAAUGUGUAAGUAACGAUGCACGUCUUGACGGUACCUAAUCAGAAAGCCACGGCUAACUACGU
rnacentral:rRNA from 1 species